GUACACGCUGUGACUAGCAUAUCAAUAAGCGGAGGAAAAGAAACUAACAAGGAUUCCCCUAGUAACGGCGAGUGAAGCGGGAAGAGCUCAAAUUUGAAAUCUUAAAGGGUUUCCCUUUACGAAUUGUAGUUUAAAGAAGUGUUUUCUGUUGAGGUUCUGGUAAAAGUUCUUUGGAAUAGGACAUCAUAGAGGGUGAGAAUCCCGUAUUUGACCUUUACUUUCAACUUUGUGAUACACUUUCAAAGAGUCGGAUUGUUUGGGAAUGCAGUCCAAAAUGGGUGGUAAAUUUCAUCUAAAGCUAAAUAUUGGCGAGAGACCGAUAGCGAACAAGUACCGUGAGGGAAAGAUGAAAAGAACUUUGAAAAGAGAGUUAAACAGUACGUGAAAUUGUCAAAAGGGAAGCGUUUGACACCAGUGUUGUUUUUCUGAAAAUCAAUUAAAGAACUGUUUAUGCUAAGUUGUUUAGACUUUAUCAGCUAACUGUUUAGUUUUGAGCUUUUCUUUAAUGCACUUUUCAGUUAACAAGUCAACAUCAAUUUCUUUUGCUGUAAAAAAGCUUGAGGAAGGUGGCUUGAGAUUCGUCUUAAGUGUUUAUAGCCUCUUGCCUAUGCAGUCGGAGAGAUUGAGGUCUGCAGCGUAGAUCCUUCGGGGCUAAAUGCAUUUGUGCUAAGUUAUAACAUUUUAUAGACAACUUGUUGACUAUGAUUUGUCUUGUAGCUUACUCGCUUAUGUUAUUUUACCUACGCUUAGGAUGUUGACGCGCGUGUGUGCGUG
rnacentral:rRNA from 1 species